GAUGAAGAACGUAGUGAAAUGCGAUAAGUAAUGUGAAUUGCAGAAUUCAGUGAAUCAUCGAAUCUUUGAACGCACAUUGCGCCCGUCAGUAUUCUGGCGGGCAUGCCUGUUCGAGCGUCAUUACGCCCCUCAAGUCCCCUGUGGACUUGGUGUUGGGGAUCGGCGAGGCUGGUUUUCCAGCACAGCCGUCCCUUAAAUUAAUUGGCGGUCUCGCCGUGGCCCUCCUCUGCGCAGUAGUAAAACACUCGCAACAGGAGCCCGGCGCGGUCCACUGCCGUAAAACCCCCCAACUUUUUAUAGUUGACCUCGAAUCAGGUAGGGAUACCCGCUGAACUUAAGCAUAUCAAUAAGCGGAGGA
rnacentral:misc_RNA from 1 species